UACGUAGGGGGCGAGCGUUGUCCGGAAUCAUUGGGCGUAAAGCGCGUGUAGGCGGCUCGAUCAGUCUGGUGUGAAAUCUUGGGGCUCAACCCCAAGCCUGCACUGGAUACUGUCGAGCUUGAGUCCGGGAGGGGAGAGCGGAAUUCCUAGUGUAGCGGUGAAAUGCGCAGAUAUUAGGAAGAACACCGGUGGCGAAGGCGGCUCUCUGGAACGGUACUGACGCUGAGACGCGAAAGCGUGGGGAGCGAACAGG
rnacentral:misc_RNA from 1 species